UCUUAUGGAUGAGCAAAAAAUGGUUUCCUGAGAUAGAAUCUAUUCCUGGUAAAGAUGCUGUGAA
rnacentral:pre_miRNA from 1 species